UACGUAGGUGGCAAGCGUUGUCCGGAAUUAUUGGGCGUAAAGCGCGCGCAGACGGUCCCUUAAGUCUGAUGUGAAAGCCCACGGCUCAACCGUGGAGGGUCAUUGGGAACUGGGGGACUUGAGUGCAGAAGAGGAAAGUGGAAUUCCACGUGUAGCGGUGAAAUGCGUAGAGAUGUGGAGGAACACCAGUGGCGAAGGCGACUUUCUGGUCUGUAACUGACGCUGAGGCGCGAAAGCCAGGGGAGCAAACGGG
rnacentral:rRNA from 1 species